rnacentral:lncRNA from 1 species
UAAAUCUCCAAAGGCUCAGUAGAUGAAUUGAGUGCUUUGAUCAGCUGUGAGGAGUCUGAUUCGCAUCUUAGUUGCCGGAUCCCCAGUUCCUUACUCUUCUUAAUCGCUUCCCUCAUCGCUAAACCUUCUGCCAUAAGUGGUGACAUAACAAAGUCAGUGGAGCUUGAAAAUCUCUGAGUUUCUCUUGAAUUUUUGAUAGUCCAUCCCAGUCCAGCUAGCAGCCCCUGAUGUCUCAGUCUUGAAGCAUGAUUUAACAUAUGUUUUUAAUAGGAAAGAAAUAAACCACAUGUGGAAAGUGUGCUAACAAUGUACCUGUAAAAUGGAACUAGACACCACUUAGUGGCAGCUGAUCAAGCUCAGUUACUAGCUCCAUCAACUCAACAUGAUUUUCAUUCCUGCAU